rnacentral:rRNA from 1 species
CAUCAGCUUUUUGAGUGUGAUUAUGUGGUUUAUGAGGAGUUUAACCGCCUUCAUGUAUUGCAUAUUUGUGCUCUUGGGUGUACUUGUCUGUGUGGUAGGUUAACAUCAAUUUCGGUCGUCAUAAAAUGAUUGGAGGAAUGUAGCUUUGGUCUCGUAUCGAAGUGUUAUAGACUCUGGUAGAUGUGACGAUUGGGACUGAGGAUUGCAACGGAUACCCUUCGGGGCUACUCGUCUGAUCUCUGAAGGUUGCUCCGGUACCGAAAGCGUGCUUACGGUCAUCGAAAGUGAUUUUCAAAAGGUUAGAACGGGUUAAAUUCGUUAAGGAUGUUGACGUA